rnacentral:rRNA from 1 species
GACGAACGCUGGCGGCGUGCUUUACACAUGCAAGUCGAGCGAUGAGAUCCCUUCGGGGAUGGAUUAGCGGCGAACGGGUGAGGAACACGUGAGGAAUCUACCUUCAACACUGGGAUAACUCCGGGAAACCGGGGCUAAUACCGGAUACGAGAUCAGCAGGCAUCUGCAGGUCUGGAAAGUUUUUCGGUUGAAGAUGACCUCGCGGCCUAUCAGCUUGUUGGUGAGGUAAUGGCUCACCAAGGCGACGACGGGUAGCCGGCCUGAGAGGGCGACCGGCCACACUGGGACUGAGACACGGCCCAGACUCCUACGGGAGGCAGCAGUGGGGAAUAUUGGGCAAUGGAGGGAACUCUGACCCAGCGACGCCGCGUGCGGGAUGAAGGCCUUCGGGUUGUAAACCGCUUUCAGCAAGGAAGAAGCGAAAGUGACGGUACUUGCAGAAGAAGCACCGGCUAACUAUGUGCCAGCAGCCGCGGUAAUACAUAGGGUGCAAGCGUUGUCCGGAAUUAUUGGGCGUAAAGAGCUCGUAGGUGGUUCGUCACGUCGGAUGUGAAAAUCUGGGGCUUAACCCCAGACCUGCAUUCGAUACGGGCGAGCUAGAGUGUGGUAGGGGAGACUGGAAUUCCUGGUGUAGCGGUGGAAUGCGCAGAUAUCAGGAGGAACACCAAUGGCGAAGGCAGGUCUCUGGGCCAUUACUGACACUGAGGAGCGAAAGCGUGGGGAGCGAACAGGAUUAGAUACCCUGGUAGUCCACGCCGUAAACGGUGGGCACUAGUUGUGGGAACCUUCCACGGUUUCUGCGACGCAGCUAACGCAUUAAGUGCCCCGCCUGGGGAGUACGAUCGCAAGAUUA